rnacentral:rRNA from 1 species
UACAGAGGUCCCAAGCGUUGUUCGGAUUCACUGGGCGUAAAGGGUGCGUAGGUGGUUGGGUAAGUCUGAUGUGAAAUCUCCGGGCUCAACCCGGAAAUGGCAUUGGAUACUAUUCGGCUAGAGGUUUGGAGGGGGGACUGGAAUUCUCGGUGUAGCAGUGAAAUGCGCAGAUAUCAGGAGGAACACCAAUUGCGAAGGCAGCUCGCUGGGACGUUACUGACGCUGAGACGCGAAAGCGUGGGGAGCAAACAGG